ACUUUUGUUGGAUUGCAAUUCAUCCGGAAUGUAACUUGAUCUUCUUCACCUUGGGCUGGGAUAGAACAUUCAUGUGCUAUGAUAUGGAUCGCCGGCAACUCAAAGUGAUAUGCAAUCUUGAAAAUUGCGCUCCACCAUAUCUGCCACAUGUGCCGCUAUAUGAAGAGUUACAAUCGUUGCACAAGUGAUGUCAAUUAUUUGUGCUAUUGCCUAUGGAGCAUCGGGUUUGGUACGUCUGCUGCAUUUGGUUUGGUCUGUGAUUGAAUGUUUUGAUGUUUUCUAUGCUUUUAAGUUUGGAGCAAUGGUGAGAUUCGUUCUGGGUCCAUUGUGGCUGAUUUCUCUCAGAUGGCUUAUUCAAAUGUUCAAUGUACUUUCUGUUGUAUGUACUUAUUUGUUAUACCAAUGGUUCUGGACACCAGAGGAUGUGAUACACUUCGGCUGAUUACAUUGUCACUACUUUUGGUGCUAUUUACUUGUCUGAUUCAAAUGGGUUAUGCUGUUAGCAUAAUAUCACAGCCACAAUGCUGUUGUUUAUCAAAUAGGAAAUAUUGUGGAUCAUACGUUCAUCCUGUUGGUAGACAACUUUUAACACAAAACUGCUCUAGAAAACUAGGAAGUCAUCGCUUUUGUCUUUGUGGAUUUUGUUCACGUAGGUAGGUUUAAGGAGUUUAAAGCAAGCGAUGUCGCCACAGUGCACUUCCCAUGUCAGUCUUCCUAUAAUGGUCCACAUACACUCCAGUCCAGGAACUCUUAUUUGUUAAAUAAGAGUGGUAAUUCAACUUACUGCUGUGGCGUUUGCAUAGUGGGAUGAUGUUCAUCUUCCAGGAGAUUCAUGCUGAGAAGGUCAUCAUGGCAAUUGAUUGCCUUGAGCUGGCAAAACCUUUGGAAAACUAGGACUUCGAACAACGCUGCAAUCUUACCUGUUCUUAUGCAAAUUUAGCAGCUUAGUAAGGUGUCCCUGCUUGAAUUUCGUCCUCACUCUGGCUGGAGUGCCCUGAUGCCUACAUGCUUUUAAGUUUGGAGCAAUUGUGGUUCAUUCUGCGGGGAUUGUCACUGAUUUCUCUGAGACUAAUUAUUCAAAAUCUGUGCCUCGUGUGUGAAUUGCAAUCCAGCCAAAGGGAAUUGCGUCAUGCUGCUGGCCUUCGGCUAGGCCACCUGUCGGUUUGGGCUUCAACCCAGAAGAAUCACUGCAUUGCAUUUCCAUGUAUUUAAGUUGGUACCACGACAUUGNNNNNNNNNNNNNNNNNNNNNNNNNNNNNNNNNNNNNNNNNNNNNNNNNNNNNNNNNNNNNNNNNNNNNNNNNNNNNNNNNNNNNNNNNNNNNNNNNNNNNNNNNNNNNNNNNNNNNNNNNNNNNNNNNNNNNNNNNNNNNNNNNNNNNNNNNNNNNNNNNNNNNNNNNNNNNNNNNNNNNNNNNNNNNNNNNNNNNNNNNNNNNNNNNNNNNNNNNNNNNNNNNNNNNNNNNNNNNNNNNNNNNNNNNNNNNNNNNNNNNNNNNNNNNNNNNNNNNNNNNNNNNNNNNNNNNNNNNNNNNNNNNNNNNNNNNNNNNNNNNNNNNNNNNNNNNNNNNNNCAGUGUGUCCGUCUCAAACCGGACAAUGGCCGUUAGUCAUACAUUUAUGUAGUUGCAGUGGACACGAACGGGGAAACAUGGAUGAAAUCCGGUGUCUCUACUAGUUUGGUUGAUGGUUUUACUUCGAGGACAUAGGGUCGUGUUGGAGCUGGGAGUGCAGUGUUCGGCGGUUUGGUGGCACUCUUUCUAGGGCCAUUGCAUGGUCUGAUGUUGGUUGCACCCCUUCGGGCCUAAUCGUCAAACCUCUGCCNNNNNNNNNNNGGACACGAACGGGGAAACAUGGAUGAAAUCCGGUGUCUCUACUAGUUUGGUUGAUGGUUUUACUUCGAGGACAUAGGGUCGUGUUGGAGCUGGGAGUGCAGUGUUCGGCGGUUGGGUGGCACUCUUUCUAGGGCCAUUGCAUGGCCUGAUGUUGGUUGCACCCCUUCGGGCCUAAUCGUCAAACCACUGCCCCAAGGAGCUGGCAGCAUUCUAUGCCGGAACUCCGUCUAAUCCGUCCUGGCAAACGAACUUGAGACAUGUCGAACCGGGGAAAACUGACUGGAAGAAAAAGCGCGAACAUCCAUCCGAGCGUUGCCCCGCGAGGACUAAACCAUAACCUAUCUACUAGCCAGAGCCGAGGCCACCAGGAUUGCCCUCCCCGCCAUCGACCGCCAGAGUGGCAGCCGAAGUGGAGACAUAAUCAUAGGCUUGCCGGGGUAGGCGAGGGAAAGAAGGUUUUGCCUUAAUCGUCUUGUGAGACGAAAAAGAAAAUUAAAUUGUUCUUGUUCCAUCAUCAACCCAUUGCUAUAGCUCAUUUUACGGAGUAAUGCAUUGUUGUUCACGACUUUUAUUCCCAGGUCACAAGCGAUAUUGAGAACAAGAAAUUUUCCUUGGAACUAUUAAGAGAAUUUAGAAGGUUAUCUUUUUUUCAGCUGUGUUAGGUCAUUUUGCACGUGUCCAUGUGUGACAAAAGAAGGCAACAAGCUGCUAAUGCGGGCAUGAGAAGGCCCUGAAUGCGCCAGAGUGAUGAAUUGCCGAGAGAGCUUCAUUGUUUAGCCCAUUCGGCGACCAAGUGACGGCCAUUGGUUAACGCAAGAAAACCGAAGUCUGGAGCCUAGUCGCAGUGCUUCAAUACCCUUCCGCCUUAUCGCUACGGCAGCACCACCGCCAUGUCCAUGUCGGCGGAUUGCUCCCGCCCGCGGGAGUAAGUCUACUGUUGGAAAUAAUCCAUACCUAGUCACGUUACUUACGUACUAAUAUGCUACAAUAGUUAAUUGGGAGUACUAGUCGUCAACCCGUGCAUCCGCACGGGUUAGUCAUUUUGCAAAUGCGUGGAGAUAUUAAUAGUAUACUAUAUACAUGGAUGUUGACAUAUUUUAAAUAUAGAAAAAUAAAAAAUUCAUAAUGUUUUUUUAGAAAAAUAAUACUACCGUGGAAGUACACUAUAUCACAUAUUCGUUAGUCAUGUUAGAAUAUGUUAGAGGAAUUGUUUUUUGCAAAAGUAGCUAGCAUUAAUAUAUUGAUCCGAUUUUAUGUGAACUGUUGCACUCUCCAAUGUGUUGCAAGAGCCUUAUCUUAGUCAUCACUGUUUUACUUAACCUUAUUAGGUACAAAAAAUGGAAAUUAUAAAGAGUAGAGAAUCGACAAAUAGUUUGUAGGGCAUGAAUUUCAAAUAUGCAACUCAAAACGAACAUAAUACAUUAGGAGCCAUUGGAUCAUAUAUGACUUCAAUGAAACAAUCGACCUAUUAUAAAAAAAUCAGGCAAUAACUUGAAAUAUUUCAUCACGUGAUUUUAUAACAUGCGCCUCGUUUAUUGUCCUUUUUGGCGGUACAAAUGAGCAAUGGAAACCUAAGUAACAGCAGUAUAAUAGCAAUAUCUUUACCAAACUUCGUCCAUUAUUAAUUACAAAUCACCUGGAAAUGAGAAUAUCACAUUAACUAAAUUUGAAACUUUUAUUUCAUUUGUUUGAACUAUUGAGGGUUGGAGGGUACCCUAAUCCUCAGAAAUUUAAACCCCUAAUUGGACUCUCUAAUGCAAACCUUCCUUUUUUGCCAAUGAUUUCACUGCUACUUAGCACAUACCAUCAUAAGCUAAAUACAUCAUUUUUUAUGCAGAUGUAUGAUGAGCAGUGCUAGUAAUUUCAUGAAAAAUGUGUAUGUGAAAAGAACACCUGAAAUUAGUAAAGCGAUGCAUGUUUACUCUAGUGCUCUGAAAGCUUAUUAACCUGGCAGAAUAUGACCAUGCUGCAUUUGAGGGUGACCAUAAUGUUCUACUCUAGCAGUUUAUUUCAUUUAUUGUUGUUUAUUGUCCGUGCCCGUGACUGGAAGAUACUUCAAGAUUGGCUUCAUUGCACCCACUGUUUUAAAUAGCCCACUAUAGCACGCUAUAGCGUUUACAAAGCGUCUUGCCCUAAGAGAUUUUUGUCCAAACAAAUGAACAAACAUUUUAAAUAGCGCGAUAUAGCUCCGCUAUAGCACGCUAUAGCAUUUGGAAGAGGUCCGCCGCUAAGAUGCUUAGCGCGCUAUUUAAAACUAUAAUUGCACCUAAUUUAAUCGUGUUGACGCAGGUAAGCAAUGCGCUGUUCACCACAAUAAGAAAAUUACCAGGUUAUUCCAGAUGUUCAUUUCCUUAACAUAUCAAGUAUAGCAUAUAUAAGCAAAAGGUUCUGUAGAAAAGCAAAGCAGACAUUAGUUUAUACCAACAUACUUCUAUGCACCUAUAGCAUUUAGAUCUCCAUAGUCGAUACGACCUGAUGAUUUUAAUACAUUUAAACUAUAUUUUAAGAAUACAUUAGGUAAUUAUACUUGCUAUAAACUUAUGAAAUUCAACUAUUUUGACAGGUUAUUAUCAAGGAAAAUAUUGACAAAAUGUACCGACAAAAAACCAAUCAUCUAUGAUAACAAAAAUUUAAAGGGCUAUUUGUACACCAUCUUAUAACAAAAAAGCAGCAUUAGCAAUGCAUCAAAAUUACAAACCAUCUUAUAACAAAAUAGUACACCACAAAACUUAUGGCCAGAAUAAUCGAGAAAAACGUAUAUCUAUAGUGAUCUUCCAGUGCACCCAAGACUGAAAUAAAAUAGAAGCUAAAGGAACAAAUUUAAUUAGGAGCACAUAGCUAAAUAUACUUCAGUUUUGUAAUCCAAAAAGAUAAAUUUAUCUAAAUGACAAAAAAAGAUAAAUCUUUGCAAGUACAAAAAUAGCAACUUAAUAAUGCACCAGAUAAUAAUCCAAGCAAACUUGUAGGUAUAGCCGAACAUGCUAGCAUUGGCAUCAGAUCAAUGGAUUGGGCAGCGUGUUUCUCCGCCAAGCAAAUAGACAUUGCCAAGCACUCCUAUAUGUUCAGGUCCUCAACGUGAGAAUCUUUAAAGGUGAUUUCCCUACUUUGUUAGGAUAGUACAAUGGUAUCAUAACCAAGCUACGGAGAUUUUAUAUUUAACCUACAUAUGAUAAUAUAUUGUAAUCUGUAAGUUAGAGUCACAUCCGAUUUAUUUGAACGGCUUAUUAAGGAGGUAAUAGUAAUUAAUGCAACAACUGCAAAUAGAAAUUGUUUCUCAGUGUUCCUCCUGAGUUAUGAACAUGUAUUUAUAUGUUUGCAUCAUCAAAAAUCCAGUGGAGCUUAGCACAUCAUUUUUUCCAAGUGAACGUAAAUGUGAGAGCAUAUAUUUGACUCUGGAAGGCUACUGCUCCAUGCUCGGUGGCAUAUAUUAAUUUAGUGCUACCAUUGGUGUCGCUUCCAAGUAUGAUUUGGCGAGUCAACAUGGGGGUCGUCUUUCUAUAGGACCUGUGUAAUCCUUGCCAUGCCAUCUGGUUAAGUUUAAGCAUCCCCGUGUCAAUUCUCCAUAUUCUUGUGUAUAACGUUAUUGGAUGAGCUGUGAAGACCGGUCCAGUUCAUGCAUCUGCAUAACUGAUGUUAAAGCAAGUAAAAGGCAAGAAAAUAUAAAGAACUGGAGCAAUAGUCAAUAUUUUGGGAUGGAGGGAGUACUUUAUUUAAAUAGAUUAUGUCAAUACUAAACUGUAGAAGUAAAAUCCUUUAUAAUCUUAAGAAUGCAUACAAUGAAUCAAAAUCUGAAUUCAUCAUUGAUGCCAAUUAAUUAUCAUCUAACUGUCAAUUAAGUGAAUAGUAAAUCUAAUGAAGAUAUUUUUUCAAGGUUUUCAUAUAUACUAAGGAUGAAUGCACGGUACAUACCUAUUGGACGUGAGGGAGAGGUUGAGAUAACCAAAAGGAAUAAAUAUGUGGGUCAACUUAGAAAACAAAACAUAGCUUCACCUGCACUACUGCAGAACCGGGCAAUAGCACCGGUUCGUAAGGCCCUUUAGUGCCGGUUCCAUAACCGGCACUAAAGUGUGGUCACUAAAGCCCCUCCCCCCCCUUUAGUACCGGUUCUGCACAAACCGGUGCUAAAGGGAAACCACGUGGCACGAGCCAGCUCCGGGGGCCUGGAGCCCUUUAGUACCGGUUGGUAACACCAACCGGUACUAUAAGGUUUGGGGGUUUUUAGUUUUAUGAUUACAUGCCCAAAGAACAUAAUAGUGUAUAUAUCCUACUAUUACUUCAUAUGCUUCAACAAAUUCCUGAGGAAAACUCUGCUAUAGGAAUUCAAGUGUUGGCACUUUAACAAUUCAACGAACAGUUGAGUGCAUUACCAAACAGAAAACAUAAUUGGAUCCCUACGUGCAUAAGAAAGGACCGGAAGAGUGAAAACAGAUUGUUGGCUGGAACAGUACCUCAAUAUCAGGUUGAUCUCGUAUUCGUCUAAAUCGUCGAUGGGCAUGCCCAUGUCCAACCGCCUGCAGUAUAUGUGUGUGGUGCGUGUCUCACCAUGUAGCUGGUCCUAUGCUUGAACGAUUCAUGUCAUCUUCCUCUGCCGCCAUGAUGUUUCAGCACCGCCCCCUGAUGGCAUCUCUUUCAUGUUCCUAAGCAACCUCCACUUUCUCUAUGAAGUGGCGGCUGUGUGCUGCCACGAUGAAUGCACGGUGGUGAGGAGAUAAAAGAAAGCGUCCUUGCAUCUAGCAAAUGGGAGUCAUGCGCCCCCAUGAGAAAUUUCCGGCGGCGAGAGAAAAAUAGGUCGGUCUCGCAGAAAGAUAAAAAAUAGGUGGAAGUCACGGGACGGAGAACCAAAGUCGGCCAUAGUUUUCUUGAGGGUGAUAUAUAGGCAUGGUCAUCAUUUAGAUGAGACCAUAAAUCCUUUUUUUCUCUUGGAGGAGAGGGUGGCUGGGUGCCAGGGAAGAUCGAGAGGCAUGGGUUAGCGACGAUAAGCUGAACUGGCGUCGAGGAGAUCGGAGGUACUCCCUCCGUUCGGAAUUACUCGUCCAAGGAGUGAAUGUAUCUAGAUGUAUUUUAGUUGUAGAUACAUCCAUUUUUGUGACAAGUAAUUCCGGACGGAAGGAGUAACACGAAGGGAAUCGUCUUGGGUUCCUCUUUUUUUCCAACAAAACGAACUUGGAUCCUAUUUUUUUACGAAGGAUUAAGGUGGCUCUUUGAAAAGAACUUUGGCAUAGGUCGUUAGCUAUUUUUUCCCUCAAAACAAUCACGAGAGGGAGAUGCUUACGUGACAGUUGUUUUUCAUGUGGGAGAUUGAGAAAUUUAGGUCGUGAGGGACAUGACUUUUUUUUCAUCCCAAAAUCAUAUUGUAGAUUGUAUCGUAAUCUCUAGCAUCCAACAACCUGGGAGGGUUUAGAAGUAAAUAGGAGAGAACGCAGAUUUUCCAUCUUUUUGUCUUUUUGAGGAAACGUGGAGAGUCCAAGGUGAGUACGACUACCACAACAAUCUCGUGACCAACCCAAAAAUCAGUUUUUUUUCUCAUGAACCCAGGAAAAAUUCGGAAGAUCUAGACCGUAAUAAUUAGGUCCCACAAGAUUAACGGCUUUUAAUUACUGAUUAACGUGGAAUUUUUUAGGAAGUCUGUAAUUAGUAUAGGUAUAGAUAGAUAGAUGGACUGUGCUAACCACCAGUCGACUGGUGGUUAGCGACAGAUCCGCACGAUCGCUUCUCCCGCUCCCCGCUUCGUUCCCCUCCCUUCUCCCGUUUUCUUUUCUGGCGUGGUAAAAAAAUGUACAAAGUGGGACUCAAACCCACUACCUACGGUUCACCACAACUGUUCACAACCAACUGAACCAGCUUGAAUUCUGGCUAUAAUUUAGGUUGGGUAAUAUUUAAACCGGACUGUGCUAAACAGAUCCGAGCGCCGAACGGUUUUUCUGGCACACAUCCUUCUUUCUCGAUCCCAUCCCAUCGCUUCUCCCGCUUCAUUUUAUUUCCUAGCGUGGUAGAAAACAUGGUAAAAAGUGGUAUGAGGUGGGAGUUGAACUCACUACCUCUUGAUUCAAGAUCGCUUGUCAUAACCAUCUGGUCUAGUUUCAAGUUGUGAUUACAUAGAAUGCCAAUAAAUAUUUGUACUUCUACAUACGCGACCAGAAAAACAAGUUGUUUUUCUUUCUUUUUUAUUUACCAAAUUUCCUUUUCUUUUGUACAUGGCAAUCCAUGCAUCACAGACUUGAUAACUCGCGCGCCGCUGUAACCUUUUGACCUUAGGUAAAAUGUUGUAAUAAUACACCUCGAUAACUUAUCUGUAAAAGAGCAUGGUAAUUAUACGCCACGAACCUGAUAACUCACUCACAAAUCUCUGUGGUAACUGUGAAGAAAAAGUGUUGUUGUAGCACACCCCGAUAACUUAUCUGGAAAAAGAGCAUGAUAAUUUAUUACGCCAUGAAUCUGAUAACUCACGCACAACACACUAUGGUAAAUUUUCUGACCACAUGAAUUUUUGUUGUUGUAACAAAUCCCAAUAAUUUCUUUAUAAAGAGCAUGGUAAUAUAUAAGCCACAAACCUGUUAACUCACUCACAAACAAUGCUUAACUUUUUGCACAAAGAAAAAAAGUUGUAUGAAUAUACCCCGGUAACUUUUUUGUAAAUAGCAUGAUAAUGUAUACGCACGAACAUGAUAACUCAUGCACAAACACCAUGAUAACUCACACACAACAAAUAUUUUCGCCCAAGUAAAAAGUUACUAUGGUGUUUUGUACAUAAGUUAUCAGAGGUGUGGGCACACAAAAGUUACCGGAGUUACAUUUUAAACAACCUUUUUUUCUCAGAUUAAAGUUAUCAGGGUAUUUGUACCUAAGUUAUCAGGUUUGUUGUCGUAUAUUAUCAUGCUAUUUAUAAAGAAGUUAUUGCGGAUGUGUCUUCAACAUUUUCUUUCCCGGAUAAAAAUUACCGUGGUGUUUGGACCUGAGUUAUCAGGUAAGCGGUGCGUAUAUUACCAUAUUAUUUUACACAUAAGUAAUUGAAGAUAUGAUUUUAAGAAAGAAAAAUCAUAGGUCAAAGUUAUCACAUUGUCUGUACCCCUAAGUUAUCUGGUCUAUGGUGCACAUAUUUCCAUGCUAUUUAUAUUGAAGUCAUCAAGUUGUGUAUUUAACCACUAUUUUCUGCCGGGUCAAAAAUACCGUGAGUAUUACGUACCAUUGAAGAUGUCGGAGUAUAUUUAAGCAACUUUUUUCUGGGUCAAAGUUAACAUAAUAUUUGUUCAUCAAGUUAUGAGAUCCAUAUCUCGCCAAAAACAAGUCGUUUUCAUGGGCCGGACCACUAGCACGCUAUAAGGAUGUUUGUAUAAAAGUUAUCAUGAUUUUUGUAUAUAACUGAUCAAGUUUGUUAUGCGUGAGUUACCAUGCUAUUUACACAUAAAUUAUCGUCAAACAACACUCCCCCACUGGACCAAAAUUAUCAUGUAUACGGUGCUUAUAUUAUCAUGCUAUUUUCACAUGAGUUAUCGGGAUGUGUUUUAAAAUAUUUUUUCACCUGAUCGAGGUUUCUACAAUAUUUGUACGUAAGUUAUCAAGGCUGCGGUGAAUAAAUUAUCAUGUUAAGACCAUGAACUCAGCUCAUAUCUAUGUACAAAGAGUACAAGAGUCUAGUCUUAUAUGUUAAAUCAUGAGCUCAACUCACAUCUCUAAUUUAUUUUUGAUAAAAAUGUAUGUUUUGUAUAUUUUUUGGUAAAAAGUUUGUAAGAAAAACCGAAAACGACAGCAGAAUAACACUCGAUCAGAUCUGUGAGUAGAAAAGUCUACCUCAACAUAAAGGUAUGAAAAGUAUGUAACAAGAAUCAAAUCACAACAUAGAGUUUGCUUAGGUGGUUGCUGCUAGGUUCCUAAUACUGCUGGAUCUAUCAGAUCCCAGGUUCGACUCCCCUAGCACUCCUAUUUUUUUACCGAAAUUAAAAAAAGACAGCCCAAAAAAGGCUCGAGCGGGGAUUGUGGAUCGACAGCGGGCGGGAGCGGGAGCGAUCGUAAAGAAAGAUCGAAGGAAAAAAAACAGGCGGAAGCGGUCAUACGUGCCUAUUGCAAACUGACAGUCGGCAGGUAUUUAGAUUUCUCGUAGAUAGAUAUAGAUAUAGAUAGAUAAAUAGAUAGAUAGAUAGAUAGAUAGAUAUAGCUAUUCGGCGUGCCGUGUCCUGCUACUAAAAGUUGUAAUCAGGUCUAGUUUGUUCGAGGAGUAGUAGCUUGUCUAGGUUAUCUAGUCCGACCAGAACAUGGAGUCCUUUGCCAAGUCACGUUGGGUCUGCUCCUAGGUGUGUAUAUAAAGCACACCAGGGCUGUUGUUUUUUAUGUGUAUAGCCAUCGCAAACUCCUUCCACUACUGGAAUUUUCGUAUACGCGGGGUGUCGGUGUCUUCACCGAGAGCCAAAACACAAUAACCUUAGUAGGAAUGAUGUCUCCCACGUUCUACCCCCGUACGGAUGGUGCGUCUAGCAUCGUUGGAGGGCGUGUGGAGGUGUGUCUAUGCGGAUCUCGCGGGAUUUGAUCGGUGCUGGUCUUCGGUGGAUCUAUUUGGAUCUGGUCUUUGUCUUUCUCUGGGUGUUUACAUGUUUGAUUUUUUGGAUCUAUGACUUUCUUCAUCAUCGAUGGUUGCUACUCUGGUGCGCUGGUCAUAUGGGGCAUUAGCACGAGUGCACGAUGACCUCCGAACUGUUUACUAUAACAAGGUUUGUCUAGCUCCGCUGAAGGAGGAGCGAAUGACGGUGGUGCGCUUUCGGCUCUCUCCAAUGCUUGUAGUCAUCGCUAAGUGGUCCACGGAUAUGACUGAAUUUUUUAUUACCUCUAUUGUUCUUUGUACUGCCAUGAUUAAAGAUAAAUAGAGUGGAAGUUUCUCGCAAAAUAAAAGUUAAAGCAAAUAGUACAAAACAGAAAUAAUAGGGUGAUCACAUGACGUGUGGUUCCUAGUUUUGUAAAAAAGAGAGCUUAUUUACGAUUCUUAAGGAAAAGUUGAAAAAAGGAAAGAAUUGCAAGUUAAAAGGGGAAUAUGUUGGCAAAUAGUGAAACAGAAGCACCUUGUUAUGCUAAUCAUAUCAAUUUUAGCAAGGAAGGGAAGCUAAAAUAUUCUUGUUCAACAAAAAACACAAUAACCAAAAUUAAUAAUUGUUUCAUGUAUGAGUAUAACCUCUCGCAAAUCUAUUUGCUUGGCUACAUGCCUACAGAAAAAAGAAGGAUCUUUUGUAUAAAGGGUGGAUUUAAUUGACUCAAAAGGAUGCAACAAGAGGAUACAAACACAACAAGCACACACCCGACCUCUAUAUUACUAGGAUGCACACAAUCAACUAUACACACACGCAAAGAAUUAAGUUGACAAAAAGAGCAAAAUCAUACUAGAUUGUAUAUAGGCCUAGGUGGACUGAAUGCUGGAAACUCAAAACAAUGAUCGACGAACUAUAUAAAGAAUGACCACCUACAACAGUCAUCUCUUGGACAACACAAGGACAAUGUAAAGGUUCUCCUGCAGCAACUCCUCCAAGAAGGGAAUGAUGCUCAUAGACCAUGUCAUUGGAUCCGACCACCGGAGGCCAGUGGCGGAGCGUGAUGAGCAAACAAGGGGGGGGGGGGCAACCUCAAACUCAAAGUAAAAUAUGUGCAAAAACACAUGCAUCUCACUGUCUCAUAACAAAAUAUUGCUUUCUCUCAGUUAAUUGCAGUUUUUCUCCUGUCUCCUUCAAAUAUCGGCUAUCGGCAGGCGGCAAUGGUGCACAUCAAGUAGAAGCAAAGCCUGUUGCAAUCCAUCGAUUCAUGUUGCGCCUCUGCCAUUCUUGCCGAGAGACUCCGCCGAGAGAGUCGAUUCAUCUAAUCGAUCAGCCCAUGUCAAGUUCACGUGCAGGUGUAGAUACGUGUGCUGGUACUUGUUACAAUGCAACUUGUAUUACUAGGAGGUCAAAGCCACCAUGUAUAUGAUGUACAUGAGGAUGCCAAAAGUCAAGAAUACGCUGAAGACGAUGUAGGAGACAACAUCACAGAGAGAUGAGCACCAAGCACCGAGCGACGAUGCAUGCGAGACGGGAUCAAUAUAGGGAACACUGUCAGAAGUCGGCGAGCAGCGACACAGAUGCAGGGACCAAAACCUCAUAUCCAUUUUUAUCUCUCUCUUUUUUUACACUCAGAAACAACCAGUGGAAUCGACCCAAAAUAACGGAAUCAAUAGGCCGAACGAAGUAUUAGCGCUCACGCGCGAGGCAGAUAGCCAGCGGGCUGACUCCAAAAGUAGGAGCGAAGACCAGGGCGCUCGAUCCAUAGGACGAGAACGGCACCCCCUCGAUCGAGGGCAGACGAAUCGUGAGCGGGUCCCAAUCUGGGCUUCAAAGGGCGGCCGGGUGUCCAGAGGACGCCCACGACUGGAGCCGCCAGCGGGGUGUGGAGAGGGCGCCCUCGCCUGGAGCCAGAGGUGGCCGCGGCGGGAGGUGGGAACGGCGGCCUCGAUGAGAGGGGGAGGCGCCACGGCCGUGGCGGGAGGUGGAGUCGGCGACCUCGGCGGGGGGUGGAGGUGCGGCGGCCGCGGCGGGAGGUGGAGGCAGCGUCCUCGGCGGGAGGUGGGCACGGCGGCCUCGGUGAGACGUGGUGGCGUGGCAGACGUGGCGGGAGGUGAAGGCGGCAACGUCGAUGGGAGGUGGGAGGUGGAGGCGCGGACCUAGGGUAGAUCGGCGAGAGAGCCGCCGGAUCGGACUGGUCUAGAGCAGAGAAAAACUACAACCACUGGCAAAAUAAGCGACGGCAGCGUGCGAGGUUGGAUCAGGAGGCGAGUUACAACGUCAAAAAAAACUCUGAACCUAGGCUCGAUACCAUGUUAUAAUGCAACUUGUGUUACUAGAAGGUCAAAGCCACCAUAUAUAUGAUGUACAUGAGGAUGCCAAAAGUCAAGAAUACGCUGAAGACGCUGUAAGAAAAAACGUCAUAGAGAGACGAGCACCAAGCACCGAGCGACGACACAUAUGCGGGACGGGAUCAAUAUAGGGAACACUGUCAGAAGUCAGCGGGCGGCGACACAGUGACGGAAACCUCAUAUCCAUUUUUACUCUAUUUUUUUACACUCAGAAACAACCAGUGGAAUCGACCCAAAAUAACGAAAUCAAUAGGCCGAACGAAGUAUUAGUGCUCACACGCGAGGCAGAUAGCUAGCGGGCUGACUCCAAAAGCAGGAGCGGAGACCAUGGCGCUCGAUCCAUAGGACGAGAACGGCAACGCCUCGAUCGAGGGCGGCCGAAUCGCGAGCGGGUCUCAAUCUGGACGUGCAAGGGCGGCCGAGUGUCCAAAGGGCGCCCUCGCCUGGAGCCGGUGGUGGCCGCGGCAGGAAGUGUGCACAGCGGCCUCGAUGAGAGGUGGAGGCACGGCGUCCGCGGCGGGAGGUGGAGGCGGCGACCUCGGCGGGAGGUGGAGGCGCGGCGGCUGCGGCGGGAGGUGGAGGCGGCGACCUCGGCGGGAGGUGGAGGCGGCGACCUCGGCGGGAGGUGGGCACGACGGCCUUGGCGAGAGGUGGCGACGUGGUAGGCGCGGCGGGAGGUAAAGGAGGCAACCUCGACGGAAAGUGGAAGGUGGAGGCACAGACCUGGGGCAGAUCGGUGAGAGAGACGCCGGAUCGAACUNNNNNNNNNNNNNNNNNNNNNNNNNNNNNNNNNNNNNNNNNNNNNNNNNNNNNNNNNNNNNNNNNNNNNNNNNNNNNNNNNNNNNNNNNNNNNNNNNNNNNNNNNNNNNNNNNNNNNNNNNNNNNNNNNNNNNNNNNNNNNNNNNNNNNNNNNNNNNNNNNNNNNNNNNNNNNNNNNNNNNNNNNNNNNNNNNNNNNNNNNNNNNNNNNNNNAACUCUGAACCUAGGCUCGAUACCAUGUUAUAAUGCAACUUGUAUUACUAGGAGGUCAAAGCCACCAUAUAUAUGUUAUACACGAGGAUGCCAAAAGUCAAGAAUAUAAAAGGGCAAAGGCCACCAUCAAUCUUUCCCUAAUAAUAAUAAAGCGCUUGUCGUCAGCCUUUUUGCAAAAUAGUCCCCUUGUUUCAGAGAAAUUAAUCCUUAGUCCUACUUAUAGUGUGUUACUGAUGGAUAGCGUUACAUUGUUUUGCAAAAAAAAAACUGCCACCACCGGCCACCUCCACCACUUAUCCAUUGCUUGCCUCCACUGGACCGCCAGGCGUGCCCUGCCGCUUGCCACUGGCGUCAACGCUGCAGAAGCCAAGGCAGGGAUGCGUCGCAGCGAGUGUCCACGCCGCUCGAGCCCGGGAAUGGGGCAAGGCGUUGUAGAGCGUGGCAGACCGAGGCGUCGCGGUGGGCGUUGUAGAGCGCGGCAGACCGAGACGUCGCCGUGGGCGUUGGAGGGCGCGGCGGACUGAGGCGUCGCCCGAUUCCUGGUGCACCAUCAAUAUAACUUUAACGGUGCUAUUAUAGAUCAAUCCAGGUGCUUAUGUGCUAGCUCUUGCACGUACGUACAUACAGCUCAUGUGGUGAUUUGAUCUAGUGGUCUAAAAAUCAACAAGGAGAAGAGACGAGCGCGUCCGUGUGUUUGUGGAACCUGGGAGGGAGGAGUUUAUUCUUGAGUNNNNNNNNNNNNNNNNNNNNNNNNNNNNNNNNNNNNNNNNNNNNNNNNNNNNNNNNNNNNNNNNNNNNNNNNNNNNNNNNNNNNNNNNNNNNNNNNNNNNNNNNNNNNNNNNNNNNNNNNNNNNNNNNNNNNNNNNNNNNNNNCCUCCAUGAGCCUCCGCUAGUGCCGAAGGCCACAUUCUAGGUUUUCACCUUGAAAAUGAAGUCAAAGCAACUUUAAGCAAUGCAUUAAAAAAUGUAACGAUAAAUGACCCAAAAACACUGUCAUUGCUAGGUAUAGCCCACUAGAGUUAGACCUAGGGUUUUCACCUGAGACUCAAGAUUAGGUACUCGAGAAGCACCACUAAAUCGAAGACAUCCUAUUUUUUCACCACAACUUGCCAUGAUCCUAGUAACUAUACACAUGCACAAUUUUAACUAGUGAAGCCACACAAUUAAUGACCAUGCCCGCACAAGCAGGCAGUCAAACUGAGACAAGAGUUAGUUGCCACCAAAGGCUCAAAAUGGCGAAGGAAACUAUCAUACAUACAAUAAAGAUUGAUGAGGGAGGAAGGUCACCUCCUAUGUGGUGCUCUAGAUCACCUCCUAUGCACACGAGGUGUUUGAUGGAAUGCCCGAGCCACACUACUUAAGCUUUCUCCUCUCCAAACUCGACCUCCAACCUCCAUUUUCCUCAAUAUUUGUCUAGGUUUAGCGGUCCGUCACGUCCCGUCCCCGUCUUCACCGCCGUCGAUCGCCCGCGCCGAUCUCAUCGCCGGCACCACCGUGGUGAGCCUCUUGUUCUUAUCUUUUUUCUGAAAGGAAAAAAAAUCUUACUUGUAUAUUUAUAUAGAUACUUGUAUAAUUUUCUUACUUUUAUUAUUGCAUCUUAUAUAGUGCGAUGGAUUUGGUAUCCGCCCCCGUCGGCCCUCGUCCUGUCUAUGAUUCAGAUGUGGUAUAUAUUAUCUUUUCAUAACUAUUGGUUCAUUUAUUGUUUAUGACAAUUAUGCCGACCAACGUGACAUAGAUUUUAUUUAUCUAGGAGGUUGUUGAACUGGAAAUUCCAACCGACCCUACUGUCGAGAGGUUAAAUUUAGUUGAAGAAGAAAACAAUUUGUUGAAGGAAAAAAUUAGAAAAAUUGAGGAGGAGAAGAUGAUAUUGGAGUUGCAUGUUGCGGAUGUCGUCGAUGAUCACAAGAUCAAGAUGGAUGCAAUGCGCUUUAAGAUUAAAAAGAUUAGAAAAUAUGCCAUUCAUACCAAGGCUUGGUAUCAUUAUGUCGUUGGAUCAGUUGUUACAUUGGUUGCGAUUAUGAUCGCAUUUGUUUUCGCAUUGAAAUAUUUUACAUAGUUUCAGUGUAUGGUUUAAUUAAUUUAGAUGCUCUGCAGAGCUUUAUGUUGUUAGAUGAGAACUAUGUAUGUACUUUGGUUUUAAUGUGAUGAUGAACUUCUAUUAAUUUGGUCAUUUAAUUAUCUAUUCAUGAUGUUCUGUAAUGAUUUUUGACACACUUAAUUAUAUAUAAUGCACGCAGAUGAACCGGCAAUGGAUGUACGGUUCAAGACACACCUCCGAGUACAUUAAGGGCGUGCAUGAUUUUCUCGAAGUGGCUGAGGCAAACAAGCAGAAUGGUUUUAUGUGUUGUCCAUGCCCUAUAUGUGGGAAUACGAAGUCUUACUCUGACCAGAAAAUCCUCCACACCAACCUGCUUUACAAGGAUUUCAUGCCACACUAUAAUGUUUGGACGAGGCACGGAGAAAUAGGGGUUAUGAUGGAAGACGGCGAAGAAGAAGAGUACGAUGACAACUAUGUGCCCCCUGAAUACGGUGAUGCUACUGAAGAUCAAGAGGAACCAGACGAUGUGCACGAUGAUGCUGCAACGGGCGAAGCUGCUGAAGAUCAAGAGGAACCAGAUGAUGUGCCCGAUGAUGAUGAUCUCCGUCGGGUCAUUGUCGAUGCAAGGACGCAAUGCGAAAGUCAAAAGGAGAAGCUGAAGUUCGAUCGCAUGUUAGAGGACCACAAAAAAGGGUUGUACCCCAAUUACGAAGAUGGCAACACAAAGCUCGGUACCGUACUGGAAUUGCUGCAGUGGAAGGCAGAGAAUGCUGUGCCUGACAAAGGAUUUGAGAAGCUACUGAAAAUAUUGAAGAAGAAGCUUCCAAAGGAUAACGAAUUGCCCGACAGUACAUACGCAGCAAAGAAGGUCGUAUGCCCUCUAGGAUUGAAGGUGUAGAAGAUACAUGCAUGCCCUAAUGACUGCAUCCUCUUCCGCGGUGCGUACAAGGAUCUGAACGCAUGCCCGGUAUGCGGUGCAUUACGGUAUAAGAUCAGACGAGAUGACCCUGGUGAUGUUGACGGCGAGCCCCCCAGGAAGAGGGUUCCUGCGAAGGUGAUGUGGUAUGCUCCUAUAAUACCACGGUUGAAACGUCUGUUCAGAAAUGGAGAGCAUGCCAAGUUGAUGCGAUGGCACAGUGAGGACCGUAAGAAAGACGGGAAGUCGAGAGCACCCACAGACGGGUCGAAGUGGAGAAAAAUCGAGAGAAAGUACUGGGAUGAGUUUGCAAGUGAGCCAAGGAACGUAUGGUUUGCUUUAAGCGCGGAUGGCAUUAAUCCUUUCGGGGAGCAGAGCAGCAAUCACAGCACCUGGCCCGUGACUCUAUGUAUGUAUAACCUUCCUCCUUGGAUGUGCAUGAAGCGGAAGUUCAUUAUGAUGCCAGUUCUCAUCCAAGGCCCUAAGCAACCCGGCGACGACAUUGAUGUGUACCUAAGGCCAUUAGUUGAAGAACUUUUACAGCUGUGGAAUGGAAACGGUGUACGUACGUGGGAUGAGCACAAACAGGAGGAAUUUAACCUAAAGGCGUUGUUGUUCAUGACCAUCAACGAUUGGCCCGCUCUCAGUAACCUUUCAGGACAGACAAACAAGGGAUACCACGCAUGCACGCACUGUUUACUUGACACAGAUAGUAUAUACCUGGCAAGCUGCGGGAAGAAUGUGUACCUGGGCCAUCGUCGAUUUCUUCCGACCAACCAUCAAUGUCGAAAGAAAGGCAAGCAUUUCAAAGGCGAGGCGGAUCACCGAAAGAAGCCCGCCAUGCGUACCGGUGAUCAUGUACUUGCUAUGGUCAAUGAUUUACACGUAAUCUUUGGAAAGGGUCCCGGCGCACUAGCUGUUCCGAGUGACGCUGGGGGACACGCACCCAUGUGGAAGAAGAAAUCUAUAUUUUGGGACCUACCCUACUAGAAAGACCUAGAGGUCCGCUCUUCGAUCGACGUGAUGCACGUGACGAAGAACCUUUGCGUGAAUCUGCUAGGCUUCUUGGGCGUGUAUGGGAAGACAAAAGAUACAGCUGAGGCACGGGAGGACCUACAACGUUUGCACGAAAAAGACGGCAUGCCUCCAAAGCAGUAUGAAGGUCCUGCCAGCUAUGCUCUUACCAAAGAAGAGAAGGAAAUCUUCUUUGAAUGCCUUCUUAGUAUGAAGGUCCCGACUGGCUUCUCGUCUAAUAUAAAAGGAAUAAUAAAUAUGGCAGACAAAAAGUUUCAGAACCUAAAGUCUCAUGACUGCCACGUGAUUAUGACGCAACUGCUUCCGGUUGCAUUGAGGGGGCUUCUACCGGAAAAUGUCUGAUUAGCCAUUGUGAAGCUAUGUACAUUCCUCAAUGCAAUCUCUCAGAAGGUGAUCGAUCCAGAAAUCAUACCAAGGCUAAGGAGUGAUGUGGUGCAAUGUCUUGUCAGUUUCGAGCUGGUGUUCCCACCAUCCUUCUUCAAUAUCAUGACGCACGUCCUAGUUCAUCUAGUUGACGAGAUUGUCAUUCUGGGCCCCGUAUUUCUACACAAUAUGUACCCCUUUGAGAGGUUCAUGGGAGUCCUAAAGAAAUAUGUCUGUAACCGCGCUAGGCCAGAAGGAAGCAUCUCCAUGGGCCAAACAGAGGAUGUCAUCGGGUUUUGUGUUGACUUCAUUCUUGGCCUUAAAAAGAUAGGUCUCUCUAAAUCGCGGUAUGAGGGGAGACUGAGUGGAAAAGGCACGCUUGGAAGGGACUCAAUAAUAUGCAGGGACGGAUAUUCUUGGUCUCAAGCACACUACACAGUUCUAUAGAACUCUACCUUGGUGACCCCGUAUGUCGAUAAACACAAGAACAGUCUGCGCUCCAAAUACCCGGAGCAGUGCGACGACUGGAUUAGAUGUGAACACAUCAGGACUUUUAGCAGUUGGUUGGAAGCACGUAUCAGAGGUGACAACACUGUUUGUGAUGAGCUGUACUUGUUGUCCAGGGGACCAUCUUUGACUGUAUUGAUUUGGAAAGGAUACGAGAUAAAUGGGAAUACAUUUUACACGAUUGACCAAGAUCAAAAAAGCACCAACCAAAACAGCGGUGUCCACUUUGAUGCAACAACCGAGAGGGGAAAGGACACACAUUAUGGUUACAUAGUGGACAUAUGGGAACUUGACUACGGAGUAGAUUUUAAGGUCCCUUUGUUUAAGUGCAAAUGGGUCAAUCUGUCAGGAGGCGGGGUACAGGUAGACCCACAGUACGGAAUGACAAUAGUGGAUCUGAAAAAUCUUGGGUACACUGACGAACCGUUCGUCCUAGCCAAUGAUGUGGCACAGGUUAUCUAUGUGAAGGACAUGUCUACCAGACCGAGAAAGAGAAAAGAUAAGGAAGCGAAUACAUCAUACGAUGAGCCAAAGCGCCACAUAGUUCUUUCAGGAAAAAGGGACAUCGUGGGAGUGAAGGACAAGACAGACAUGUCUGGAGAUUAUGAAAAGUUUCAUGAAAUUCCUCCCUUCAAAGUCAAGGCUGACCCCAGCAUCCUGAUAAACGAUGAAGAUUAUCCAUGGUUACGGCGCAAUAAGAAAAUGACACAAGCGAAGAAAAAGUGAAGACUUUCUCCCGCAACUAUUAUGAUGAUACCAUGCCAACUUUGUAACUGACGAGUAUGAUACCAUUGUUCAUUUUGUACAUGCACAUGCUAUGUGGGUCAAUUUAUGAUACCAUGCCAACUUUCAACUUUUUCAUAGUUCAUUUGAAAUGCUUUAAUGUCUUAUGGUUCGGCCCUCGUAAUAAUUAAAAAUAGCAACAAUUAGUAUUUUGUUGUAAGUAGAAACAAAAUAAAAUAAAUAAAGCAAGAAAGAAAACAAAAAAACAAAAAAAGUGUUUUCAAAUUUGAAAACUAAUGGCACUAACAGAAAGUUUAUAAUUUUCCUAAAACUAAAAGCAAAAACAAUUAAAAAAUGAAGCAAAAAACAAAUGAAAAUAAAUAAUGCAGAAAACAAAAGAAAAAAACAACNNNNNNNNNNNNNNNNNNNNNNNNNNNNNNNNNNNNNNNNNNNNNNNNNNNNNNNNNNNNNNNNNNNNNNNNNNNNNNNNNNNNNNNNNNNNNNNNNNNNNNNNNNNNNNNNNNNNNNNNNNNNNNNNNNNNNNNNNNNNNNNNNNNNNNNNNNNNNNNNNNNNNNNNNNNNNNNNNNNNNNNNNNNNNNNNNNNNNNNNNNNNNNNNNNNNNNNNNNNNNNNNNNNNNNNNNNNNNNNNNNNNNNNNNNNNNNNNNNNNNNNNNNNNNNNNNNNNNNNNNNNNNNNNNNNNNNNNNNNNNNNNNNNNNNNNNNNNNNNNNNNNNNNNNNNNNNNNNNNNNNNNNNNNNNNNNNNNNNNNNNNNNNNNNNNNNNNNNNNNNNNNNNNNNNNNNNNNNNNNNNNNNNNNNNNNNNNNNNNNNNNNNNNNNNNNNNNNNNNNNNNNNNNNNNNNNNNNNNNNNNNNNNNNNNNNNNNNNNNNNNNNNNNNNNNNNNNNNNNNNNNNNNNNNNNNNNNNNNNNNNNNNNNNNNNNNNNNNNNNNNNNNNNNNNNNNNNNNNNNNNNNNNNNNNNNNNNNNNNNNNNNNNNNNNNNNNNNNNNNNNNNNNNNNNNNNNNNNNNNNNNNNNNNNNNNNNNNNNNNNNNNNGCGCGCCGCCCCUUCCCCGACCCCGUCGCCAUCGCCGCGCGCGCCGCCCCUUCCCAAACCCCGUCGCCGUCGCCCCGACCAAACGCCGCCGCCUUCGGUCCGGCCGCCGGCGCCCUUUCCUCUUAUUUUUUUGUGCAUUUUAUGUAUAUGUUCUCUGUGUAUAUAUGUUCAUAUAUGCAAAAGUUAGAUUUUAGAAAAACUUUAUAUAUGCAAAAAUUUAUACAUAUAUGUACGUAUAGAUGUAUGUAUGUGGAUACAUGAGGGGGGUCGAUAUACCCCCUCUCCGAUAGCAUUUUUGUGCAUUUUUGGUUAGUGUAUAUAUAUGUUGAUGUAUAUGCAAAAGAUAGAUUUUUAGAAAAAAUACUAUUUUUUCUGUUGAUGAUAUGAUGAUGUUUUUUUUCAUAUAUGCAUUUUUUCAUAUAUGUAUUAUUUUUUUAAGUUGUUAGUAGAUAUCGAUUUUAGGUUAGUGCAUUUUAGGUUAGUGUAGAGGAGAAAUUUAAAGUAAAAUAAGGAAAAGGAAGAAAAGAGGAAGAAGGAAGAAAGAAGAAGAAAAAGAAUGAGAGGAAAAAGGAAAAUAAGAAGAUGAAGAAGAGGAGAGGAAGAAGAGGAGAAAUAAAUAAGAAGAGGAAAAAAGAAGAAAAAGAAGAGGAGAAGAAGAAAGGAAUAGAGGAGAAGAAGAAAAAAUAGAAAUUUUCUAUUUUUUCUUCUUCUCCUCUAUUCCUUUCUUCUUCUCCUCUUUUUUUUCUUCUUCUUCCUUCUUCCUUCUUCCCCUUUUCUUCCUUUUCCUUAAUUAUUUUCCUUUCUCGUCGUUGUCGAUAUAACCCCCUCGAGAUAACUUCGACAUGAGGGGCGGUCGAUAUAAAUACCCCCCCCCCCUCGGCCCUCUCGCUCGACNNNNNNNNNNNNNNNNNNNNNNNNNNNNNNNNNNNNNNNNNNNNNNNNNNNNNNNNNNNNNNNNNNNNNNNNNNNNNNNNNNNNNNNNNNNNNNNNNNNNNNNNNNNNNNNNNNNNNNNNNNNNNNNNNNNNNNNNNNNNNNNNNNNNNNNNNNNNNNNNNNNNNNNNNNNNNNNNNNNNNNNNNNNNNNNNNNNNNNNNNNNNNNNNNNNNNNNNNNNNNNNNNGCUCGACCAAAACUCUCGAGGACACCCAAACCCUAGAGAGAAAACGAUGUUGGUCUCCUACCCCCUCCCGCCGCGCCCCUACCCGACAAAUUAACUCUCUCGAAGCGUUGUUGUGUCGAGGCGACCGCAAACCCUAGAGAAGCACCGUUGAGGCCACUAACAUGAUUCCUUGUUGUGAUUAGCUGGCUAGUUCUACGUUUGCCACUAGUUCCAUCUGUACCAUAUAUAAACAUGUUGUAAAUAUUUGCAGAAACUAUGGAGCACUGCCGAGACGAAGAAGCAGAAGCGAUAUUGAGGGACAUAAUCUCAAAUGGAAGGGAUGAAGUUGCGUCAUUUCUCCUCGACACCGUUGUUGGUCAGCUGGAAGAACGGGGUGAAGAAGAGGGCUAUGUUCAUGAUGGCUUCGGCCCAUUACUGCCGGUACAAGAACAGGAGUAUGUUCAUGAUGGCUCCGGUGACACAAUGGAGGAACAAGAAGGAGACCGUGCUGACUGCUCCGGUGACCGAACCGAGCCCGGCCAGGUAUAUAUAUAUUAGUUAAGCCUGUGCUGACUAGUUAAUGGAUGCUUCCAUUGUUUUGGUAUAUGUACACAUAUUAAUUACUCUCGUCUUUCUUCCUUAUAAUUUCUAGCCCUCCGGAUCGAGCACAACUUCGGUAAGGAGACGAGGCCCGAAGAAAAAGUUGAGCUCGGAUGAAAAGUUUGAGAUCAUAGAAAUCGCGCCCGACGGCGAACCGAUUGAACCCAUCCGGACAAGGAAGGCAUUUUCUUCUCAGUGCGGGGUUCUUGUUAGGGAGAAGAUCCCGAUCAGCAUCCAGCAAUGGUAUAAGCCUAAGGAGGAAGACCCUGAGGUGUCUUAUGUCAAUGAUACGCAGAAAGAAUAUCUUUGGACUGAGCUGAAGGCAAAUUUCACCCUACCGCCAGAGGAGGAUCCGGAGAAGCCAGUUAAAGAGGAAUUAAUCAAGUCUUGUGCUCUUAAGAAGAUGGCAACCCUAAUGAGGAGGUGGAGGAAAGAGCUGAACCAGUUUGUCAAAAAUAAAAAGACACCAGAAUUCAUCGGCAAAUAUGAGAAGAUCAAAGAUCACAGGCCCGCAUUUGUGGCCCACAAGACAUCGGAAAAGAGUAAGAAGAUGUCGGAGACAAACAAGAAAAAUGCUGCGAACAAGACGCUUCACCAUCGCACGGGUUCAGGUGGCUACCUGCAAGCCCGUCCUAAGUGGUCCAAGGCUGAGAAUGAUCUGCUUGAAAAAGGGAUCGAACCAGAGACAAUGAGAUGGCCAGACCGUUGCCGGACUUGGUUCUUCGGGUCUGGCGGAACCUUGGACCCUGUAACAGGGUUUUGCCAGUGGACGGACGAGCAACUGGAAAUACCAGUCAAGAACCUUCGACACUAUAUCGAUGCAGCGCAGCGAGGGACGUUCCUUCCAAACAGGGAGAAGGACGAGCUCACAAUGGCCCUUGGGAAUCCUAAGCACCCUGGACGGACACGAGGCACGCCAGGCUCCAUUCCGUGGAAGGUUGGUUUUCCGGACGUAGGGGGUUACAAAACCCACGAGAGGAGGAAGAAACUGGAGCAGGACCAACUGCAGGCGCUGCACGAAAGGGUAAUGGGGCUAGAGGAUCGAGAAGAGGAACGAGAAGCAGCAGAUCGCAGCAAAUGACCUGCCGAAGCUUCCCCCGAAGCUACCCCGCCAUCUCAGCGGAGAAGCAGCGUGGCUUCCACCGAGCUGCUUCAGCCGGAGCAUGUCUUGACGGCUCCUGCCAGCUAUCCUGUGGAUGGUAUUACAGAGUCUCAAAAUUGCCACAUGAUGGCGCGAUGGAUGACUUUGAAGGUCAAGGCGGCUGUUGGCCAAGUUUAUCCUAGUGGACCCGGCAUAACUUAUCACUGCCAGCCGAUUCCAAAAGGAUAUGCUAAGGUGAUGGUGGAUGAAAUAAGGGAGGGAUUUGAGGACCUCGUGCUUGACCACCCUACCGGUGAAGGGGAGACUAGGCUGGGUUCUGCUCUGAAGACUCCAUGCCUAUGGAAGAAGGAGCUCAUCAACCUUUUGAACUGGACGCCUCCGCCUCCUCCUCCUGCUCCGGCGAGUCAGGGCACUCCGCCUCCUCCACCGCCUCCUCCUCUGACGAGUGACGAUCAGGGCACGCGUGGCGGCACUCCGCCUCCUUCUCCGGCGCAUGGCGGCACUCCGCCUCCUUCUCCGCCUGCGCCGGCGCUCCCGAGCAGCCAGCAGCAUCCUCCUUCUCCGCCUCGCCAGCAAGGGCGAAAGAGACCCGCCGCCGCCCCGGCUGCUCCGGCGCGUCGUACUCCUUCUCCUCCGCCUCGUAAGCAAGCACGAAAGAAGACAGACGCCGCAGCCGCUCCGUCUGCUCCGGUGUCUAGCAGCACAACCAGAGGCGGAAGGCAAUACAAAUACGGUCCAUCAUCUCUCAAGCCUCUAGAGAAGUUACCGUAUGAGAGGUCCGAGGAGGAAAACGAUACGAUUGUGCGGACCCACGUGAAGGAGUUCGGGGUGAAAGCAAAGAGACAUCCACCUCCGGAGGAGAAGGUAGAUCCGGUGAAGGCAAAGCGCACUAUCGAUGCCCUGAGGAAACCACCAAAGUCUCCGCCGAGAACCAACUAUGAGCGCAUUACUGAACAGACAUAUCUCCAAGCCCAGCGGUCGGGAACUACUGUCAGUGCUAAAAGGUCAAAAGAACGAGCAAAGGGGAAAAAAUUGCCCAGCUCGGCGAACAAGCACAACAAUCGUGCCCCCCGCUCAAUGUGUCUAAUGCUCCGGGGACGGUGGCCGGUUAUGGCAAUCUUGACGAUUACCUGCCUGACGAUGCACUUCCUGAUUUCGUGGAGGUGGACGAACAUAGAUACGAGUACGGGAAGCCUCUCGUCAAAGAUGAAAAAUCUCUGACAACAAUGAUGCGAAGAUUCCAUAAUUGGUACAUGGAAACCUGCAGAGAGUCUAAGGGUAAGAAUGCUUUGUAUCUGCAUAUUAAAGAGGAGCACGAUCUCGUUGCAAAUGAUCUGUUGACUAUUCCAUUUGAGGAGUUCUUCGAGUUCUUCAAUCAAAAGGCCCUCGAUAAAUUAAUGGUCUUUUGCUACUGCGUGUAAGUACUAUUUCUGUCAUUAAGUCUUUAUAUAUAGAUCGGCUCUUUCAUUGCAUGUAUUUAUAAUUAAUUAUCCUCAAUAUAUUAUGCAGAUUGAAGAUCGUCGAGUGCAAAAAACAAGAAAUUUAUGAUAUUGGGUUCAUUAACACAAAUAUCAUAGAUGUAUUUCUGGUUAAAAAGAACGUCAAAGAGGCCGAGGACAACUUGCUACAAUCGUUGAUCAAAAAUCAAAACAAAGAUAACAUAAUCUUUCCUUACAACGGCCCGUGAGUGUUACUGUCGUGUGCAUAUUCGGUUUCCCUUAUUACUCAAGCGAGAUUAUAGUAAUGUAAUUGAUGAGUUAUGCAUGCGUGCGCAGGUACCACUAUAUUCUUCUGGAGAUUAAGCUUGAGCGUGGACUAGUGACCGUCUUAGACUCGAGACGGAAAGAUCCCAAAUCCUAUGCGGACAUCACUGAAAUGCUCAGCAAGUAAGUUCAAUCGAUCAUUAUCGCACCAUAUCGGCAACUUUUUGUUCAUUUCCUGAUAUCUCAAGUAAUAAUAAUAAUUUUCUUUGUCUGGCAGGGUUUGGAAAUAGUUCACCGCAGAAGCUCCGGGACUGCCGAAGGAGCUGACAUAUAAAUGGCCGAAAGUAAGUACUACCGGCUAGCUAGUUGCGCGCAUCUCCCGUUGAUUCUAUAGCUAUACUUGCAUCAAUGCCAUUUAUAAUGCUUCAUUAUCAGUUUGAUUGACCUCUAUUUCUCGUAAAGUGCUUGUGGCAGGAGGAAGGGAAUGAUUUCUGUGGAUACUACGUGUGCGAGUUCAUCCACACCGCGACUUUGAAAAACAAGCGGGGCUACUCUCAAAGACAAUAUGAAGUGCGUAAGCAAUAAUAUUCACAAUUUCAUUUUAUUACACCAUCAUUUCUGUUGAGUUUCAUUCAUAUAUAUGUAUUAAUUAACCCCCUUCUUCAAAUUAGACAUGGCAGAUGCGGAAUGAACUCCUAGAACCAGAUCGCAUGAAAGCAAUUCAAGAGGAAUUUGCGGGAUUCUUUCUUGACCACGUCAUCAAUAAAGCCGGAGAAUAUCAUGUGGAAAUUGAUUUCAAAUGCUAGGGGUUUGUAAUUAAGAGAUCUUAUACAUAUUGUACAUGUAUGUAGCCAGUAGCGUCGGAUACAUGAUACGAAAACUUGUUGUUCGACCAAUCUCUCGCAGAAGCAGAGGUCGAUCGAUCACUUCUCUCGGUAUGCAUGAUGAACUUCUGUACUGAAUGGUUCUCUCGAUCACCAAUGUAUAUAUAGUACGUAGCGUCGACCAAGCACGGACAUAAGAGAGGACACUUCUCUCUAUUAAUUAGCUAGCUAACACAAUAUAUGAAACCCCCAACACCUAAAUUAACCCCCCAAAACACCUAAAUUAACCAAAGGCCCCCUGACUGGGCUCGGCGCACAGGGCCACGUGGAGGCACAUUGGUCCCGGUUCUAGUUUGAACCGGGACUAAUGGGUGGAGGUAUUAGUAACGGCCCAUUAGUCCCGGUUCAUGAACCAGGACUAAAGGCCCUUACGAACCGGGACUAUUAGGUGUUUUUCUACUAGUGAUGUCAUCUAUAUCCAAUGUAAUAGGUAACACGUAUAAUACUUGGCUUUAAAAAAGUACUACUUCGUCAACACAUGGCCCAUCUUUCACUUUCACAAACCUUCUUGGAGUUUGUGUGACAGCCCGCUUCUCUUUUCUCUCUUCCAACUGAACAACAAUAUAAUAUUUACAUCCUUAUAGUCUGCUUACAUCAUCUUAUUAUACUUGCUCUUACGUUGUUGUAGACCUAUUGUUAUAGCUUGUCUCUUGGCAUCAACAUGAAUGUUCAUGCAAGAUUGAAAAGAAGAAAAUUUCCUAGAUUAUCAAAAAAAAGCUAAAAGAAGUCCUUUGAACACACAGUGCCUCAGCCACACGAGCACCAAAAUUUCGUUUUCCUUAGCAAAACACUAAUGGCCCAUCCCGUAACCCACUGAUGGCCCAAACCCUAACGGAAGAAAACCUAAGUCCCUUGCCUGUGGCCAUAGGUUUGAAUCUCCUUGCUCCUGGCUUGAGGAUCGACGAAACCACCGACCAUCUUGCGCCGCCAUGUUCGUUCCGUCAGAUCGCUCCCAUUUCCACUCAUGAAGGUUGUGUCUCAACUCCUCAAUGUGUGUCCGGUAGGCAGUGCAGCAGCAUCCGUCCACCAUCGCAAACUCCUUCACCGAUACCCUGACCCCCUCUCUAUCUUCUUUCGUUGCAGGUCUUCCUGUCCUCCCCACGAAGGCAUGGCGGCCGAGUGGCUCGCCGAAGAUCUUCUUGUCGAGAUCCUCUCACGCGUCUCGACAAGGUCUCUAUGCUACUUCAAGUGCGUCUCCGACCAUUGGCUCAGCCUCAUCCACCACCCCGAUCACCCACAGGAAGCUCCCUCAAACCCUAGCCAGAUUCUUCUACACUAGGAGUGACAACAGGCAGUUGCCUCUGGAAACACAAGUCCGCUUCGCUGGUGUCUCUGGGAAAUGUUGUCCUCCAGUCGACACCUCUUUCACCUUCCUUUGCAGCCACCGGCGCGUCGAUCUACUCGGUUACUGCAGUGGCCUCCUCCUCUGUCGCUGGUACGACGUCUCUGCUCCGGAUGAUGAGUUCUGCUAUAUUGUGUGUAAUCCUGCCAUGGAGGAGUGGGUCAAGUUGCCGGACAUCAGUCAAGCUGACAAUGUGCGAGCACUGCAUUUGGGUUUCCAUCCGGCUGUGUCUGCCCACUUCUAUGUGUUUGCGUUGCUGGAGGAUGUCCAUUUUAUCUUCUACCUUGCCGAAGUGGAAGUAUAUUCACCUGAAACCAGAAAGAUGGGUUUACAAGGAAAUUGGAUGGUACAAAAGAAUUAAGCUUCCUGCUUGGCAGUCUGAUGCUGUCUUCCUCAACGGCUGCUUGCAUUUUUAUGACUCUGGCAAAUGUUCACCAUUUAUAUACGUGUGGUGGACACGGAGGAAAAAACAUGGCCGAACCUUGGUAUCCCUGGUAAGCUGUAUGGUGGUUUUAUUCGGCAGUCACAGGGCUGUUUGCAUUAUGCCAAUUUUAAGAAAGAUCACCAUGGUGAGGUGGUUCGACUAGUGGUCUAUGUUCUCGAUGACUAUGACAACAAAGAACGGAUAUUGAAGCAUAGUGUUGAAGCUUCAGAUAUAUCUGGAGCGACAAAUGUUACUGAUUCUGAUCGGUUUACAAUUCAUUCAGUUAUUCCCGUUGGAUUGCGAUUCAUCUGCAAUGUAACUUGAUCUUCUUCACCAUGGUGUCAGCUUCCACAUUAUGUGCUAUAAUAUGGACCUUCGGCAAGUCAAAGUGAUUUGCAAUCAUGAUGGCUAUCCACGUGUACUAUAUGUGCCAUUGUAUGUAUUUCUGCUUGGAUUUGGUUCUCGUUUUCUUGGCUGAUGUAUGCAUGCUUUUUGUUGGGAGACACAGUAGAAAACAAAAAAAAAUCACACCUACGAUCACCAACAUCAAUAUGAAGAUGCAUCAAUGAUCAAUGAGUGUCAUGCAACAUAAACUCGUAUCUUCCAUUUUAAGUUGGGGAAAAUCAUAAGCAUCUUAUUGACAAAGAACUAGCCAAUGAUUGCUUGUCUUUUACUCGCAUAUGUCUGAAAUAGUUUACCUUUGCUCUUAUAUAUGUCUUAGUUGAUCAUGAAACACUUUGGAUGAAUAUGGUGUCACUUCUGUUGAUGCUAAUUACUUUUGUUGCAUGUUUUGAAUAGAAAAUGUCAUUAGCAGAACAUCAAUAAUCUGUGAUUGGAUUAUAAUGUUGAUUCUUUUGCUAGACAAGUUCGUUACUCUAAAACUGAAGACAUCCAGUUUGCCGGUGACUUUUGUUGAGAUGGGCAUUUGAACAAGGUCUGGAAGAAGAAAUGUCAUGUCCCUUUUCAUGGUAGUUUCACUUAUUUCCUGUCAAAGAAAAAGUGUUAAUUCUAGUUGUAUGGUCAGCAUUUUUUGCAACAUGCACCCCACUAUCCCAAUGCAAAUAUGUAGUGUUGACUUUGGACGCCCUGUAACACAAACACCAAGUGGCUGUCGCUGUAUUUUUUUUUUUUGUGAAAUAACAAGUGUUUGUUCUACUUCUACCAUGUCUGCUUAUAUGUUUUCAGAUACAAGUAAAUGAACCACGAACAAGAGUGAAAGACGGCACCACCUGUAAAUAGCAUACCUUGGAAAAAAAUUAUCUUCCGGUUUUUUCCCGUUUUGUAAACGAGUUUGUCUCCCAUUUUUCACACAGGGCAAGGAUAUCAGCCUCGAGCCUCCAAGACAAACUGAAACCAACCCUGCCAUUUGUCAUUUGCUCCCUUCUCUGUAUCAGGGACAGCGCCAGUGUUUAUGAAGAGAUUGAUCUGAUUAGAAGGAAGGUUUGGCUGUAAGAAGACACUCUCUGGAGUCUAGACAUGUAGGAUUUUUGUUUUCCGAACAGAAAGUGCUCCAGACGACUAAAAGAGUGUCGUUCACUUUCCGAAGUACUUCAGUCAGUACGUACAGCGUUUCAUCGUCAUUUCUGAAACAAAAAGUACAGAAUGAAACCUGCACCUUUGUCGCGCCCCUCUCAUUUGCUUGCCUCACGGUGUCGUAGACGGCGCUGUUGUUCAGGAGGAACGAGAUUGUUUCUCCCUUUGUUGUUCGCGGUUUAAAAGUGGAUGGAUGUAGGAGGGCACCCUUGUGCACAUAAGGAUGUUGCAUAAAUCUAUGGGAGCUCAAAAUAUCAGUAAUAAGCUUGGGUUCGCUCGCUUCUGACCAUACAUAUGAAUUGUGGCAGCCGGCUAGCAAGGAAUCUAUGGGCCAAAACCCACUUCUUUUCAGUUUCUGAAUCUACAAACCUAGAACCAGCUGAGGAAUCUGAAAAGAACUAGCCAUAUGUUGUGGAAGGCGCUGGUCGCUGAUGACCUGGUUAAUUAGGCCAGCACAACUACCAUCUCCCUACAUGAAAUAACACACCACAAGCAAAGAAAAAAACUCUUUCUGUAUCCUUCUCUCCUUCGCUAGAUUCAGACAGAAGAGAGAGGGCUGUCGCCCAGGGAGAUAUUAGUACAAUGCUGCCGUGAGGUUUAGCCCAAUAUAUUUGUGUAUAUUCCUACUUUUAUGUUUUUUGGGGUUGACUUUUUAAAGGGGUCUAGUGGAAAUGUGACAUGUACGGUUUAGCCCAAUAUUACCAAUGACGGCCCAUUAGCCAUCCCUGUCGCUGUACGUUUAAAUCCCCUCCCCCGCCCCCUAGGUUUCAUCGCCCCCCUGCUCCGCGUUUGACGGCGCUGCCGCCGCCGCCAUGUCCACACCGGUGGAUCGAGCUCGCCCGUGGGAGGACGGACGCAAAUCAACUCGGAUCAGGUACGCAGAGCAGACAUCGCCAUGAAUCGUCGCGACCUUCCUCUCCCUUCUUCACCCAAUCCCCUGAGACCUCUUCUCCAUCUCUGUGUGCAGGUCAUCCUCUUCUCCUCCCAGCGGCAGCGAGACGGCAGCCGAGAGACUCACCGACGACCUCCUCGUCGAGAUACUCUCGCGCGUGCCCGGCAGGUCGCUCUGCCGCUUCAAGUGCGUCUCCAAGCACUGGCUCGGCCUCAUCAACGACCGCACCUACCGCCGGAAGCUCCCCCGGACCCUGACCGGCUUCUUCUUCAGGGAAACCUCGGAGGAGCAAUUGGUACAUCCAGUUCUUCCUUUCACCAAUUUAUCCGGGAGCCGCAGUCGCACCAGUCUCACCUUCCUGCCCAACGGCCGAAACGCCUUUCUUUUGGACUGUUGCAAUGGCCUCCUUCUCUAUGAUGUAUCUUCCCAUCGUGGCAAGCGCCGUUACGUCGUGUGCAAUCCUGCCACGGAGGAAUGGACUGAGUUGCCGCAUUGCGACCAUGCCGGCUGGGUGGGUAUUGUGCACUUAGGUUUUGAUCCAGCCGUGUCCCCCCACUUCCAUGUGUUUUUGUUGACGGACCAACUAAAUGGAUUUGGUCUCCCGGGUGUGGACGUCUGUUCAUAUGUCUAUUCAUCGGAAACCGGGAGGUGGGUUCAUAAGGAGAAGAAAUGGUACUGGGAUAUUGAUCUAGUUCGUGUUCACUCAGCUGCAUAUCUUAAUGGUUGUCUGCAUUUUUUCGCCGAAAUCAAUCACAAUACCCUGUGUCUAGCUGCCGACAAGGAGGCGGGAACAAUGAUAUACUCUCAUGUUCCUCCUCUGAAUGAUGGUUUUAUGCAGAAGUCACAGGGCUGCUUGUAUUAUGCUGGUUUUGGAAGAGAUGACAAUGAUGAUAAUGUAGUUCGACUGCUAGUUUAUGUUCUCGAAGACUAUAAUAGUAAAGAAUGGAUACUGAAGCAUAGCAUUGAAAGUUCACAUCUAUGUGGAGGGCGACAUGAUGUAGACAUUGAGGAGGACUUUUGUUGGAUUGCAAUUCAUCCGGAAUGUAACUUGAUCUUCUUCACCUUGGGCUGGGAUAGAACAUUCAUGUGCUAUGAUUCAGGGUGGACACGGUCCGGGCCGGUCCGGUCCCGGUCCGAGCCGCCGUUUGGACCGGACGCCGGCGGUCCGGGCCGGACCGGACCGAGCUGUGCAACGGUCCUGAUUACAGGGACCGGACCGGCUGGCAUGAAGCUCGGUGCGGACCGGCGGUCCUGGCGGUCUUGGUGCCGUCCAAUCACUGCCAUGUGGGCCUAGGAAAUCGGAGUGCUGGUCGGAGUAGCAACACGGUGGCCGGAGCCGGAGAAGAAGCACCUGAUGCACGGUGGCGCGAGAGAAAGGCACGGGAGAGAGAGGGAGCAGCAUGGCGCGAGGCAGAGGCGUGGUGGCGCGAGGGGACGACGGCGAGAGGUAGAGGCGCGGCGGCGCGAGGUUGUGCUAGGAGAGGAAGUCGAGGAAGACCGCGGCGCAGGGGAGGAAGAGGGGCUGCGCAGGGGAGGAAGAGGGACGGCGCGUGCGAGGAAGAGGAGGCAGUGGCAGUUCGCUAGGUCACGCACGCCCCUCUUAUUAGCUUUAUUGGGCUGGGCUCUUCUGAUUAGCUUUAUUGGGCUGGGCCUUCGGUCCUCCGAGCCGGCCGAGCUUUAACCGGACCGGACCGACCGAAUUUCGGUCUCGUUUUCACGGACCGGACCGGCCAUAUUAUCUAGCGAGCCAGGCCCGUACGGUCCGGUCCAUAACGGGCCGCGGUCCAGGCCAGAAGCCCGCUCGUCCCGUCCACCCUGAGCUAUGAUAUGGAUCGCCGGCAACUCAAAGUGAUAUGCAAUCUUGAAAAUUGCGCUCCAGCAUAUCUGCCACAUGUGCCGCUAUAUGAAGAGUUACAAUCGUUGCACAAGUGAUGUCAAUUAUUUGUGCUAUUGCCUAUGGAGCAUCGGGUUUGGUACGUCUGCUGCAUUUGGUUUGGUCUGUGAUUGAAUGUUCUGAUGUUUUCUAUUCUUUUCAGUUUGGAGCAAUGGUGAGAUUCGUUCUGGGGCCAUUGUGGCUGAUUUCUCUCAGAUGGCUUAUUCAAAUGUUCAAUGUACUUUCUGUUGUAUGUACUUAUUUGUUAUACCAAUGGUUCUGGACACCAGAGGAUGUGAUACACUUUGGCUGAUUACAUUGUCACUUCUUUUGGUGCUAUUUACUUGUCUGAUUCAAAUAGCUUAUGCUGUUAGCAUAACAUCAC
rnacentral:lncRNA from 1 species